GUGCUGAUAUGGCCUUCGUUGGUAGAGCGCACCCCUUCGGUAAGGGUGAGGUCCCCAGUUCGACUCUGGCAUCAGCGCACCA
rnacentral:tRNA from 1 species